UACGAAGGGAGCUAGCGUUGUUCGGAAUCACUGGGCGUAAAGCGCACGUAGGCGGAUGUGCCAGUCAGGGGUGAAAUCCCGGAGCUCAACUUCGGAACUGCCUUUGAUACAGCACGUCUUGAGUCCGAUAGAGGUGGGUGGAAUUCCUAGUGUAGAGGUGAAAUUCGUAGAUAUUAGGAAGAACACCGGUGGCGAAGGCGGCCCACUGGAUCGGUACUGACGCUGAGGUGCGAAAGCGUGGGGAGCAAACAGG
rnacentral:rRNA from 1 species